CCUCGGAGGGCACCGCCGCCGCCUCCCGAGCAUCCCCGCAGCCGCCUGGCAGAAACACGUCCAGCAGAGCCUUUUUUCUCAUCGGAAAAGUAGGCGUUUGGCCACAGUGAAAAUGUCAGAGGAAGUGUCUGGUGUUUGUUUUGUUUUUGUUUUUUUUUUUUAAUUUGUAUGUAUUUAUUUUUCAACCAGAAGACUUCCAAGUCACUAGAGGCAUAAAACCAGUGUCCAGCCAAAAAAAGAAAGUUUCCAUUUUCUGUCCCAGAAGAACAUAAUGUGUAUGCAUGGAAAAGUGGAAUUCUUUCUAAAAAUGUUUUAUUGGUUUUGGCCAAAGGUGCUUGAUUUUUUUUUCCCCUCGUUCAGUGAAAAGUUUAAAUUUCCAGUGAAAAUAGACUUCUCAAGUGACUUCAAUAUUUAGCUCAUUUACAGUGUGUUCAGGAAAAAAAAGAGCAAGGUUUGUUCUUUGAGUGCCAUACACGCAGCAUGUGGUACAGAAGUUUGCAGGAUUUUCCUUUUUCCCUCCACCCUUCCGCAGGGUCACGCACCCUUACUGUGUCGCAUGAUUGUGGGGGCUUCGUCAUUAAAUGGAAUUAAAUUAAUGCCUACAAAGGGUCUGAGCUGCUAAAGGUCAGGCCUUUACUUAAUCGGGUUGCCCAGCACUGAAGGAUUAAGAGAAACAUAGGACUUAGUCCAGGCCUUGUAGAUGAUUUAUAUCAUCGUUUUGCAACAAAAGACAGAACUGUUGGUGGAGUCCUACCAUUUUGGAUUUUGGUGGCACCUUUUUUUCCACAGCAUCCAAACCCUGUUUCAUCUCGGUUUCUUUGCCAAAAGGAAGGAAAGUCUACAAGUGGCCAUGAAAUCCUGUUGGCAUUCACUGAGAGCAGAUGUUCCCUCGCUCAGGGCCGCAUUCCCAUUCACCUCAUCUGCGCAGCCACUGGUUCCUAGCCCUGCUAGCAAACAAGCUUGUUGAAAUGAUUGCUUUUUUCUGAAGGCCUCCUUGACUGUCAGCAGCUCACCUAGCCCUGACAAUAGCUUCACAGGCAAGCAAGUUUCUUUUUUGGGGGCUCUCCAAACGGCAAGUUACCUCCCUACAUCCUCACAACUUUGGCAUUUUGUCUCCACCCUGCUAAGACAGCUAGAGUGGAUGUGUUUUAACAGUGGUGGUAACGCAUAGCCAUCCACCAGCUGGAUGCCAGAGCUCAUGCCCUGCUGAGACAGCCUCCAGUGAACUCUCACCUAGCUUGAACCUCCACCAAGACACAGCGCGAGCUGGCAACUGGCAGGAGAUAGACCACUGUCUGCGUCCUCAGCGAGACUGACUCUCGUGAGCGCCAGAGCUUUGAUCCCACCACAGAGCCAAUGUCCUGAUGCCUGCACCGUCACGUUUCCCUCAGCUUGAGCUUGCCCUGGAACUGAAAUUCCCUCUUCUCCUGCAGUUGGAAGAACCACACAGCCACGCCCAGCAAAGGAAACACUUCAGAGCAGGAAUUUGGGCACAGCCACUGUGUAACAGGCUCUUCAUCACCCACCCUGGAAAGUGGAGCUGACAGCCAGGGAAGGGGGGAACCAUACAGCCAGCAUCCAGCAGGGAGGGUGCUGCCCUCCCUUGUUCUACAAAGCAACCUCUGCCUUGAACAGCUCUCCUAUGGGAGGACUGGCUCGAUUUUCCCUCUGUGGGAAUGUUGCGAGACCUGAUUAGAGCUUAAACAACCUCUUAAGGAAGGGACAUAGCAAUUUAUGCCUUCCCUGUUGGUCCCAACUGUCUUAGUGGGAAACAAUUAGGCACGUUGCUACUUUUAAAAGCCUAGAAUCCACUUAUGAAAUAGAGCUGGCCAAAGCAAAAAUAACCUCCAAACUUCCAGUUGAAAAGGGAAACAGUUUAGACAUUUUUAAAAAAAACAGUUGGGGAGGGGAGACAGAAUUUCAGUGAAAAAAGUCCCAACUUGCUAUAGCUUAGAAAAAUUCAUACUUACAUUAUCUGUGAAAAUUGUUCUUUGACAGAAAAGGAUGCACAAAAAUAUUCAUAGGAGUCAAAGCCCACAGUAAUGUCUCUAGUGACUAUUCUGACUAUUCCUUCCUUUCUAAGCUCUGCAGGCCUCCGAAGAUGAAAGUUUAAAAAAAGAAAAAAAAAGUGUAAGUUGUCCUUGUCAGUGUAACAUGAGAACAAGCAAGCUGCAAGUUUUCCACCCACCCCUUCCCUUCAUAGUGGCUUUAUCCGUGCGGCCUCACAUGCUCCUACCCAGCAGGGCUGCUAUUUUCCAAGAAUAACUAGUGUUUUUGCUUAACAGCACCUUAAAGGGGCCUGGUAGGCUGAUUCUUCUCUCAGCAUCUCAGAUCAAGCACUGCGUAUGACUCAUUUGUUUUGAGCACAUCAGUGUUAAUAUUCAGACCUAAGGAGCCAGCAGAGGGGAUCACAUUUAGCCAGGGGAGGUUUAAGAACCCAGCUAUGCUUCAGGGCUAACAUCCCAAGGCGCUGCUGUUCCUGCACGUAGCUCCGAUGCCAAAUACAUACUGUGCUUUGCCAGUUUGUUUCCACUAUCAUUUGUCUCUGUUGAACACCAGCCUGAGUCUGACAGUGACUCAUAUCAGGUUAAUCCUAGCUCCAAAGAGGCAGGAAUAAUUUUAUCCCCAUCUGGAGCAACAAUACAGCACCACAACCCAAAUGUUUUAAGGCAGGAAGCAAAGAACAUCCUAUUCAUGGGAAACCACCUCAAGGGUCAUCCAAGGACUGCAUUCCCUAAAGCCUAAAUUUUGCUUGAAUACAAGAACCAGCAACGCUGUUCUCUUGGAAGACGUGGCAGAAGUCUGCACGCAUUGGAAAGAAACAAGCUCUGACAACACAUCAUUAAAAAUCCACUAACAAAGGUUUUUGUGUUGUUUCUUUUUAUUGUUUUUAAAUAUCAAUUUUUUUUUCUUUCUAGAAGUCAUUAUGUCCGACUCCAUUAACAUUCAGGUAAACAAGUGAAAGAACAACAGAUGGGCAUGAUCUCUUAGCACGGGCACAGCUGCCGGGAGCAGGGCUUUUUGCCUUUCUUUGGAGGCAGCUGAACAUAGCUCUCCCUCGCCCCGCGCUCUCUCCCUCUCUGUACCAGCAGCAGCAAGGGCUGGGGGCUGCCUCCGGACAUCCGUGCUACAAAAGCAGUGAAAAGUCCCAAGAUGGGGCAAAGAAAGGCAGGCAGUUGUGGGAUCACAGCGCUAGGCCUCCUCCCUGGCUCUCCUCUCAGCAGGGCUCUCCCCGAUGGUGCAGAGGGGCAGGCAGUGGCAGAAACAGUGUCAGCAGAGGGUGUUUAGGGCUGUUCCCCGUCACUUUAGGAGAAGCCCCUUGAGCAUGCACAGUAUUGCCACCUCUGCCCCCCUAAAUUUCAACACAGUCAUCAGAUUUUGCAAUAUGUAUUAGCUCCCCCACAGCUGUGCCCCCCCCCAGCUCAAGGGGGGCACAAUUGCAGCAGCCGCUGCUGCCAGCGAGCAGCAUCUGCCUCCCCUUGGCACCGCUGCGGACGCCCCCCCAGCCUGCCCACCUACCCCGUCCCAGAGGCUGCUAAGCCUGUGCUGUUGAAGCCUGGUUCACAAAGCAUCCUGGUGUUAAGGUUAAUUGGUUGUAGACUGCAGUGGUUUAUCACGCUAUGCACACUAUGAGAAACGUUUAUUAAAUUGACUUUUGUUUUGUUUCUUUAAAAAACAAAAAAAAAGAAAGGCAGAAAGAAGUUAAACACACUGCUUUGUGGCAUGCUCCACAUUCGGAAAGAAUCCCAAGCAUUCAGUUAAGCUGUCAGCAGCUCAGCUCUGUUUGACCUUGUGCUGUGGUCUUUGAACUCAGACCUGGCCAGUUCACUCUCUCCCAACCCCUCACUCUCAUCCUCCCCGCUCAGGCUUACAACCAUUUUCUCAGGUGUCACUUGCUCUGGGAAGAUGCUUCCUGCAGAGUGAGGGUUUGUAUUUACAGCCCACAAUUUAACUCAGUCCACAAACGGGACAGGGAGAGCAAGAUGGAGCCCCACAUUGUGCACGCAAACACACAAUUAUGCGGGACAGUAUCUGAAAAAGAUUAGGAGCGCUACCCACUCAGUGUUUUUCCCCUUCACCUUGGCCAGCUUUGGGACUGACUAGCUGCAGAGCUCUGUCACUUUUGGAUCUCGAGUACUUGCUAACAGGCAAGCCCCCGUUGUGUUUGUUUUAACUCUGUUCCAUCAUCACAGGAGGUCAGCCUAGAGAAGACCCAUGUGAGUAGUUUCUCCAUGCUGGUUUCUCAGCUACUUCAUCACUCUUAAGCAAACCAGCUCCCCCUUCUCCCCUUGGUGACCUGCUCCUGCUCUGGCUAAUGACCACACAGUCCAACCCAGGGACUCUCAGCUAACAACCUCGAAGACAGCAUGACCCUCCCGUUGCAAAACUCCUCCUCCAUCCCCUCCCGCGAUCCUCCCACCUCAGCAGGCCCUCUCCCGGCUCCCACGCUGCCGGGUGCCCACAGCACGUCCCCGCUGGAGGAGGAGGUAGCUGCUGCUGCAGCUCACUGCAGUCGCCACCAGUCACCUCUUAAUAGGAGCCAGAGAGUGAAUCCCAUCCAGGAGGGACACGGGCUGAGCAAACAUCCUGCCGUUCUUCCUCCCACGGCUGUCCGCCCUCUCAAAGUACCACUCUCUCCCAAUCGCUCCUGCACGGGACAACCCAAACCCCCAAAGCUGUAGUGCCCAAGGACAUGCCUGACCUGCAUCGAGUUCUUUGCAGGGAGACCCCGUCCGUUUUCAAACAGAGCUUCAGCUACUUACACAGCAUCGACUGAAUACUGAACAAUAUCAAAAAUACAGUAUAAGGAAAGAAAACAGAAUCAAAAUGCUUAAUGGCAUAUUUAUACACAUUUAUCAACAGUCAACAAAAAAGGCGGCAAGUUACACAUCCAUUCUGUAUACUAACAAUCCUGAUGCACGUAUAUGUAAACACACAUGCUCGGGUGAUGCAUAUACAUAUAGCCACAUAACAGAGUAGAUGACCUGAAGGAUCUAUGCUGGGGAGUAGGGGAAAGGGCUACCUACUGCGAAAUCUAGUCUCGUUCUCAAUGUGCACAAAGUGGACGUUCAGGGCAGUGUUGCUUUAAGGCUGUUUCUAAGGCUGAAUCAUUUCUUGUCCAACCCCCUCAAACUGAAGGUCUGUUGAAGCACUUCCUCCUCUUACCUAGCACAACUUGAUAUAUAUAGGUAUAUACUUUUUAAAGGCCCUAUACUAAAAGGCAAGAACAGAAAAGGGGUGAGUGGAAGGGGAGAAAAGCUUCUGAAUGGAUCAGUUUGCCCCAGUGCAGGCAUUUCCUCUCCUGUUUUGGCAAAGGCUAUGGUACCCAAGUGCCAUGGACAAGGUACUACCUUAAAAUGAACACAGGUCUCUCUCUCCCGAUCUGAUUUGGCGUUCUUCGUCACAGCUUCAAGGUGAAGGGGAGAGCAAAACACUUUAGAAAUAGAAAUAUUCCUGAAGCGAGGAAGGUGAUGACAAAUUUUAACUCCUCCUCUUAUCUGCUUCAAUGUGGCAAAGAGCUGAAAGAGGCUACCAUUUCCAGCUCAAGUGCCCAUAAUAUAAGGAAAAGGCUUUGCUUAAAAAUAUAUAUCUAUAGAACUAUACAUAUAGAUCAUCUUUUUAGAGACACUCUAAUUUUAAUUACAUAGAACCUGGGUCACCCUACCCCUCUAUGUACACGGUAGCAGCUGUCCCGCUACCUCGCCAGGGUGGCGCACGCUAGAAGCCACAUACAUCUCAUUGGCAAUCAAAGCAUAGCAGGUCACAAGAAAGUGUUUCAACUGGUGCCAUCGAAAUUCCUGAAUUCCCUUGCUUUGAUAAGCUGAUUUCCUACUGUUAAUAUCAUCGGAAAUGGAAGGUCUUAAAAAUAAACAUUUUGUCCAAGUUAGGAAAGCUUCCUAGCAAUGUUAAUGUGUGUGACAAUAUGCUACAAGCAAGGACAAUUUUGUUGAACAAGAAAGUGAUACAAAGAUUAAAUUUCAAAUGUGUAUGUAUAUGGCAGGGAGCCCCCCAAAGUUAUCCUGUAUAAUAUAAAUGUAUGAUUUUUAAAGUUAAGGAUUUUUUUUUCAAGUUUUUUUUCCAAUAUCAUUUGUAUGUAAGCAUUAGCAUAACACUAAAAACUAAGUACAGCACUAGACUCUCCCCAAAACAUUAUAUGUCUAUAAAGAAAAAUUCAAGGAAGUUUAAAAAAAAAAAAAAGUGACUUAAUUUUCAGUUUGUUAAAUCUGAAAAAC